CUUGACGACCAUAGAGCAUUGGAACCACCUGAUCCCAUCCCGAACUCAGCAGUGAAACGAUGCAUC
rnacentral:rRNA from 1 species